rnacentral:lncRNA from 1 species
GUUAGGGCGCGGGUGAGUAGGUUUAGUGUUUCUAGGGGGUUUCGGGUGAAAAUGGUUUUAGGGAUUUUAAAAAUUAGAUUUAAAUUCUAUUUUCAUAUUUAAUUCAUUUUAAUUUGUAGAAAUGUCCAAAAUUAGUGAAACCAAUUUUAUUAUGUGUGUUUUAUUUUCCCUUAUGCAUUGAAAAUCUUAAACAGUAGGAAAAUAUAAUAACAAUUAGGUAGGUAUUUAGUGCCUUUAUU